rnacentral:rRNA from 1 species
GUCUUUUUGAGUUAUUUAAAAAGUCUGACCUGCCCAGUGAGGGUUUAAACGGCCGCAGUAUUUUAACUGUGCAAAGGUAGCAUAAUCAUUAGUCUUUUAAUUGAAGGCUGGUAUGAAUGGUUGGACGAGGUAUAAGCUGUUUCAUAUAGAUUUAUAAUAGAAUUUUAUAUUUUAGUUAAAAAGCUAAAAUAUAGUUAAAAGACGAGAAGACCCUAUAAAUCUUUAUAUUUAAUGUGGUUUGGAUUUUUUGGAUUUUUUUUAUUUUUGUUAUAUUAAAUAUUUUGUUGGGGUGAUGUUAAAAUUUAGUGAACUUUUAAUUUUUAAAAAUCAUUAAUUUAUGAAUUAUUGAUCCAUUAGUAUUGAUUAUAAGAUUAAGUUACUUUAGGGAUAACAGCGUAAUUUUUUUGGAGAGUUCUUAUCGAUAAAAAAGUUUGCGACCUCGAUGUUGGAUUAAGAUAUAAUUUAGGUGUAGCUGCUUAAAGGUUAAGUCUGUUCGACUUUUAAAUUCUU